rnacentral:rRNA from 1 species
UACGGGGGGAGCAAGCGUUGUUCGGAUUUACUGGGCGUAAAGGGCGCGUAGGCGGCGCAACAAGUCACUUGUGAAAUCUCCGGGCUUAACCCGGAGCGGCCAAGUGAUACUGUCGUGACUCGAGUCCGGUAGGGAAGUGUGGAAUUCCCGGUGUAGCGGUGAAAUGCGCAGAGAUCGGGAGGAACACCCGUAGCGAAGGCGGCACUCUGGGCCGGUACUGACGCUGAGGAGCGAAAGCGUGGGGAGCAAACAGG